UUCAGACUCCAAAUUUGGAGAGGUUUGAUUUUUUACUGUUUUCUUUUCCAAGUUUUUAUGGUGGUCUGGUUGUUGGAGGCAAUUUGUUUAAGUUGAUAUGUUUCUCUUGUUUCUUGUGCAUCUUUUGUUGCAUUGGAUUUUUUUGGCAAAUUUAAGCCAUCCAGUCCACUGAUUCUCUAAUGGACGUGUCAUCUUGACUUCCUCAGGGAAGUACAUUAUAUGCAAAUUUUGCCUCGUACAAAAUGUUGUGGUUGUUAUUAUUCAUGUGAUAGGAAGAGGUUUAGUCUUUUUCUUGGUCUUAGUUUUGAGGCAAUUUAAGUGUGAAAUUAAUUGAAGGCUUUUCCAAUAGUGGGAGUUUUUUUAUUUUUAUAUUUUUAAUUUAUUAUCCUUGAUGUGAUGUCCUGUUUUGCAGAAAGUAUGGGUCUAUAAUGUUUUGAGAGGAAAAGGAAAAAGGCAAUAGGACGCCAUAAUCAAUCCAUGCCAAUGCCAUGAAAUGGAAAUGCUUAUGUAUCAGUUUUCAAGUAUAACAUGCUAGUCACCAACUAGCCAUAUUUCCUCUCUGCUGGACUUGAUGUGAAAAUUCAUGCAACUGUUAUAAAAUGUGUCGGGGGCUGCAUGUUUAAUAUUGCAAGCUUUUUUCUGUAUAGUACUAAAUUCUGUAAUUAAGAAAUUUUCUUCUAUUCUU
rnacentral:misc_RNA from 1 species